GGCUUUGCCGAUCUACCGGGAGGCACCCGGCACCGCAGCAUCCGGCCCCUUNCGCCCGGUCGCUGGUUCAAAUCCAGCAGGGGCCACCA
rnacentral:tRNA from 1 species